rnacentral:lncRNA from 1 species
ACCACCACCAACGUACCACCACCACCACCACCACCACCACCACAGCCCCUAGCCACUUCUUAUCAGCACAGGAUUCGACUCCAAACCACCUGAGCCGAGCCCCGGCAGCUCACCAACCGGUCCUUCUCCAGCAAGAAGACGCUGGCCGUCUUGUCGAAGGACCCCGAGGCUAGGCGACGCCCGUCGCAACUCCAGGCCACCGAGUG